UAAUACGAAGGGGGCUAGCGUUGUUCGGAAUUACUGGGCGUAAAGCGCGCGUAGGCGGUUUUGCAAGCCAGAGGUGAAAUGCCUGAGCUCAACUCAGGAAUGGCCUUUGGGACUGCGAGGCUUUGAGGACUGGAGAGGUGAGUGGAAUUCCCAGUGUAGAGGUGAAAUUCGUAGAUAUUGGGAAGAACACCGGUGGCGAAGGCGGCUCACUGGCCAGUUUCUGACGCUGUAGCGCGAAAGCGUGGGGAUCAAACAGGAUUAGAU
rnacentral:rRNA from 1 species